AAUGUCUCCCAUGGACUUAACUUGAUUUACUAAUAGGGAAGUGGGAGGUUCUCGAUAAGUGGUACAGUAGCCAGAAGGGAAUUUACCUACAAAUUUACCUGUGGCUCCAUGUAUUGUGUAGCAAGUGUAGUUACCUGGGUACACGGUGAUUCCAUCAGGUGGCCUUAUAUUCCCUUGGGUUAUUGGGUAAACCUUUUUCCAUGAUUC